rnacentral:rRNA from 1 species
UACGAGAGGCCCAAACGUUAUUCGGAUUUACUGGGCUUAAAGAGUUCGUAGGCGGCGCAGAAAGUAGGGUGUGAAAGCCCUCGGCUCAACCGAGGAAUUGCGCCCUAAACUACUGUGCUUGAGGGACCUAGAGGUGAGCAGAACUGAUGGUGGAGCGGUGAAAUGCGUUGAUAUCAUCAAGAAUACCGGAGGCGAAGGCGGCUCACUGGGGGUCUUCUGACGCUGAGGAACGAAAGCCAGGGGAGCGAACGGG